rnacentral:rRNA from 1 species
CCUACGGGCGGCAGCAGUGAGGAAUAUUGGUCAAUGGGCGCGAGCCUGAACCAGCCAAGUAGCGUGAAGGAUGACUGCCCUACGGGUUGUAAACUUCUUUUAUAAAGGAAUAAAGUGAGGCACGUGUUCCUUUUUGUAUGUACUUUAUGAAUAAGGAUCGGCUAACUCCGUGCCAGCAGCCGCGGUAAUACGGAGGAUCCGAGCGGUAUCCGGAUUUAUUGGGUUUAAAGGGAGCGUAGAUGGGUUGUUAAGUCAAUUGGGAAAGUUUGCGGCUCAACCGUAAAAUUGCAAUUGAUACUGGCAGUCUUGAGUACAGGUGAGGUAGGGGGAAUUCGUGGUGUAGCGGUGAAAUGCUUAGAUAGCACGAAGAACUCCGAUUGCGAAGGCAGCUAACUAAACUGCCACUGACAUUGAUGCUCGAAAGUGUGGGUAUCAAACAGGAUUAGAUACCCGGGUAGUC